AUCAAUUGGUAUUAUUUCAUUUAAAAGGUGUGUAGUUGAUGUACGACACCUACGAAAUAUUUUACACAAAACCUUUAAGUUAAUAUCACAACGUGGUCCAAUCUAUUCCAGGAAAAGAAGAAGACAUUGAAAGAACUACACAACCAAAAUGGAAGGGAAACACAAAAAAGCUCUUCAAAAAUGUUCUGUCUACCUUAUAAGAAAUCUGUCUGAAGUGGAAACCAUAUGCGAUCAUUUAGUUGUUGAUGGGAUACUAACACAAGGACUGAAUGACUCAAUUAAGACGAAAACGCCAGCGCCCACUGCACAUAUUAGAGAACUUUUAUCUAUCUUACCAAGGAGAGGAAGGAAUGCUUAUCAUAGUUUCAUUAAAGCGCUCGAUGAAACAGAGAACACACAUGCUGCUGAAUACUUGAGAGAACACGAUGGUUCUAAAAGUACCAAUGGUGAUACACAGGAGGCAAAACAACAAUAUACCGAACAACCAGAGGAAACAAACAAAUUAGAAUCUCAAAAUAAACAAGAUUGGCCAGAUUUAAGCAAGAGCUUGGCAUUUGUAAAGAUAGAUGACGUAGUAAAGUGCACUGAAAAAUCAUUCACAAUGACAUGUGAAAGCAAAAAG